rnacentral:rRNA from 1 species
ACUCAAGAAAAGAAUUUUAGUCCAACCUAAAGUAAUUCGAUAAACUCAAAUACACCACUUUAGAGCAAUUCAAAUAAGGUACAGCCUAUUUGAAAAAGAGUACAACCUACAGCGGAGGGUAACUUACGCAUGUCGAAGCCAAGUCGACCUAAAAGCAGCCACCUUAAAAAAGCGUCAAAGCUUAACUUCACCUCACCUAAUGCCCCCAUCAACACAAAACCCCCAUAACACUAUUGAGUACUUCUAUAUUUUUAUAGAAUUUUUUAUGUUAAAACUAGUAACAAGAAAACAUUCUCUUACAAUGUAAACGUAAAUCAGAACGGAUUCUCCACUGAUCACCACACACCCACGAACAGCACCUCAUCUAGAAAGUCCUGUUCUAUUAAUUGUUAACCUAACACAAGAACAUUUCGAGAAAGGUUAAGCGAAAAAGAAGGAACUCGGCAAACAUUAAUCCCGCCUGUUUACCAAAAACAUCGCCUCUUGACAAAAUAAGAGGUCCAGCCUGCCCAGUGACCCCCCCCCAGUUAAACGGCCGCGGUACCCUGACCGUGCUAAGGUAGCGUAACCACUUGUCUCUUAAAUAGAGACUCGUAUGAAAGGCAUCACGAGGAUCAAACUGUCUCCUUUUUCCAACCAGUGAAACUAAUCUCCCCGUGAAGAAGCGGGAAUUCCACUAUAAGACGAGAAGACCCUGUGGAGCUUAAGGCAAAAUAAUUAUUAUUACUUCAAAUUACCCCCUCCCCGAAGAUCACACACAACAACAUCUUAAUUAUUUAGCCUUUAGUUGGGGCGACUGCGGAGUAAAACCAACCCUCCGCGCCGAACAAUAUCCCACAAAGAGUCACAACUCUGUACAUCAACACAUUGACAACAAUUGACCCAAUUACUUGAGCAACGAAACAAGUUACCCCAGGGAUAACAGCGCAAUCCAUUUCAAGAGUCCAUAUCGACAAAUGGGUUUACGACCUCGAUGUUGGAUCAGGGUAUCCCAGUGGUGCAGCCGCUACUAAAGGUUCGUUUGUUCAACGAUUAAAACCCUACGUGAUCUGAGU